GCUGGGAGAGGUGUGAGUUGGAGUUUGUUUGCAGUGACGAAGGAGUCAGUGCUGUGAGGAGCUGCCUAUGAGAACUCACCAAGAAGAGGGGCUUGGUGGGCUUUUGUUCUAAUCUGAACAAAACAUGAGCAUCAGACUCCUUUUUUACUGACUGUAAUGCCAGUGACAAGCACGUGUCAUUUGGGAGUGUAUGACCAUGCUGUGAAGCCUGCCUUUCUCCAGCAGUAGAAAAGUAAAGGCCACUGAAGGGGAGCAGGACUCUAAGAGUGCCUCAGUGGCACUGCUCACCACCUUAGUGGUCCUUCUAAGGCUGGGUGUGUCUGCAGCAGCAAGAGGCAGCCAUAAGCUCCUGGUUUGGUGCCUAGCAGCUGUGAGUCUGAACCUCUGUGGUGAACCAGCAGCAGCGCUGCAUUUGGGUGAUGACUUUCUCCAGUGGAUACCAGCUACAGGUGAGGCUGCAUUAGCUCCUGCCAUGAAAGUGAGCUUCCAUUAAGCUCUUGAUGGACACAUUUCUGUCUCUGACAUAUCCCUGGUGUGCAGGGCCCAUGGCAGCAGCUGUGUGGCUGUCUUGGUUUAAAAGAUCUGCCAAGGAAGAUGGAUAACUUUCUGGAAUGGAAAGACACCCCCUCCCUCCAAAUUAUUGUGACUGCAUGACACAACAGUAAUACCUCACAUCUGCAUUUUGGAGCUGAACCACUCACUUCAGUGCCAUCUGAGGAGGAAGGAAUACUUUGUCAGUUCAAUCAAUCAGCUAAUCUGGUUAUUAAUUAAUUUAGUUAUCAUCACUGGCUGGAAAAUUUUAAUUACCUCUAUCACUAAAUAAUAUUUGAACCAGUAAAAACAGGCAAUAAUAGCACCAUAGAAAUGCUGAUUUGCAAAGGAUUCAGCAGGGAGAGGCUAAGUGCUUGGAGAUGUGUUUGUGAUUGUAUGAAUGUAAAAGCCAUUGCAGUGCACGGUGAGCACCCGAUGCGAGCUGCCCUGCAGAAACUGCUCAUUUGGGAUGCUGCUUUCCCCCACCAGCAGUUAUAUCCAUCACCCAGCACUGACACUGGAACUCCCCGUGUCCCUUGGCCCCAAUGCUCAUUCCUACUCCCAUUCCGGCCCGUUAUUUACCCCUCUUAUUGGCCACAGCAUGAAUCAGAGUGCUCAGCAAUCCCCAGUUAAAACCGACUGUGCAAAAAUCCCACCUAGUGGCAAUGCUGCAUCAUCAGGAACAAAUCACUGCGAGGCACUCUGUUCCUCUGUGGUUUCUUGGGAGAGCAAUUUACAGCCCCUUCCACACACAGCGAGUGAAAACAACUGUGCUUGGGAAGAGCACUUUGGCCAGCUCUUGCACAUCACGCAGCCUUGGCAGCGAUCCCUCUUUUCUUGGCACAAACACAGAAGCUCUCGGAGGCUGGGGGUGUCAGAACCUCGUCUGCACGGCGCCGAUGGUCAGCUUUCAGUGCUUGGCUCACUCAUUAUUGUUAAUGCUGCGUUCAAACUAUGACAACCACUGUCACAUAAUGCGUGGUCUGCGACAGCCACACAUCCUCCUGCUAUGGUAGACCAGUGCCUGUAAAGUACAGAUCUCUUUUGCUGAGAAAUGUGGGCAUAAAAAAGCAAUGAAAGAGCUGAAUGGAUUCCUAUUGGAAUUUUAUCACUUGGAAAGAAGAUCCAGCAUCAACAACAGUGAAAUUCCAUGGUCAGGAAAAAGCCCAAACAAUUUCCAAUAUUUUCCUUAAUUGGAUUACAAAUGCCACCUUUGGAAUACAUUUUGAAAUCAA